AUGGCAGAAUGCUUCAAUAAGGUGCUCAAGGGUGUACGUGCAUUACCCGUGACGGCAAUAGUUCAAUACUCAUUUGACAAGAUGAAUGGAUACUUUUUAAAGUACUCAAUGGAGACGGAUAAGCAGAUUGCUGGUGAGAACAAGGAUAAGCACAAGUACUAUUUCCCACCAAAGGUUGAAGAAUGGUUGGACUUUCAAUCACGAAAGGCAGACUCCCAAGAAGCUGUACUAUAUGACGACAACGAGUGGAAGUAUGAAGUGAAAGAGCCUGGAGGAACCACAAACGAUGGGCACCAACACGGAGGCCGCGCUUUCAAGGUCUCCCUAACACGGUGUGAUUGCAGCUGCAUGAGGCCAUCGUUGCUUCAUCUCCCAUGCUCGCACUUGUUAAAUGCAUCCCGUGUUAGGAAUGUGGACGUCAAUCACCCUCUUACCGUGAGGGAGUCCGAGUUCUCAAUCAUGACGGUAAAGAAUACAUGGGCUCCCCGGUUUCAGCCAUACUUGGACCAAUCACAAUGGCCGGAGUAUCAUGGAGUUCAACUAUGGCCGGACCCGGAAUUGAAGGUCGUUAGACGGGGAAGACGUAAGACAAAGCGUCUUAGAGGUGACAUGGACGGAUGGGGCCGUGGUGGCGGUGGAGAAUACGGCACCGGCCAAUUCCAAGAGCCUCGUGAGCAAACCCGUUGUGGGGACUACAGAUAA
rnacentral:rRNA from 1 species